AGAACCAACAGGGAUUACCUCAGUAACGGCGAGUGAAGCGGUAACAGCUCAAAUUUGAAAGCUAGCUCUUCUAGGGUUCGCAUUGUAAUUUGUAGAAGAUGUUUCGAGUGUGGCCCCGGUCUAAGUUCCUUGGAACAGGACGUCAUAGAGGGUGAGAAUCCCGUAUGUGACUGGGUGCUUUCGCUCAUGUGAAACUCUUUCGACGAGUCGAGUUGUUUGGGAAUGCAGCUCAAAAUGGGUGGUAAAUUUCAUCUAAAGCUAAAUAUUGGCCAGAGACCGAUAGCGCACAAGUAGAGUGAUCGAAAGAUGAAAAGCACUUUGGAAAGAGAGUUAAACAGUACGUGAAAUUGUUGAAAGGGAAGCGCUUGCAACCAGACUUGCGCGCUGAUGAUCAUCCGGGCUUCUGUCCGGUGCACUCGUCUGCGCUCAGGCCAGCAUCGGUUUCGGUGGUGGGAUAAAGGCCUUGGGAAUGUAGCUCCUCUCGGGGAGUGUUAUAGCCCUCGGUGCAAUGCCGCCUACUGGGACCGAGGACCGCGCUUCGGCUAGGAUGCUGGCGUAAUGGUUGUAAGCGACCCGUCUUGAAACACGGACCAAGGAGUCUAACAUCUAUGCGAGUGUUUGGGUGUUAAACCCAUACGCGUAAUGAAAGUGAACGGAGGUGAGAACCCUUAAGGGUGCAUCAUCGACCGAUCCUGAUGUCUUCGGAUGGAUUUGAGUAAGAGCAUAGCUGUUGGGACCCGAAAGAUGGUGAACUAUGCGUGAAUAGGGUGAAGCCAGAGGAAACUCUGGUGGAGGCUCGCAGCGGUUCUGACGUGCAAAUCGAUCGUCAAAUUUGCGUAUAGGGGCGAAAGACUAAUCGAACCAUUUGCUACUAGGUGGUCAAGAGAUACCUCAAAGCGGUAUUUAGUCCUUGUUCAGGGCAACACUAUCAAAUUGCGGGAACGUCCUGUAUUAAAUUCUAAGCUACCGCAGUUAUCCUGAAAGGGAUGGCGCGCACCAGGUUAAUGGCCUCGGGGAUGGUAAUAACGUUUAGAUAGGGAUAAUCCGCAGCCAAAUCCUACGGGUCGAAAGGCCUACGGAUGCAGUUCACUGACUAGAUGAUAGUGGGUCAGAGAUCGUCUCUGGCUUAAGAUAUAGUCGAAUCCGCUGAGAGAUCAGAGGUGGAAGACGCCCCAACUCUUGUUAAAUCAAGGCGAGGGGCAGCUU
rnacentral:rRNA from 1 species